rnacentral:lncRNA from 1 species
GUGAUAGGACCUGAGGGAAUGGUGUUAAGCUGAGGCAGGGGAAGUUUAGGCUGGACAUCAGGAAGAGGUUCUUCACUGAGAGGUUGGUCGCACAUUGGAACAGGCUCCCCAAGGAUGCAGUCAUGGCACCAAACCUGUUGGAGUUUAAGAAGCAUUUGGACUGUGCUCUCAGUCACAUGAUCUGAAUUUUUGGCUAGACCUGUGUGGUACCAGGAAUUGGACUCGAUGAUCCUUAUGGGUACCUUCUAACUCGGGAUAUUCUAUGGUUCUAAAAUGAGCCCUAUAACUAUUACAUCAUGGGAUGAACACUUAGUAUGAAAAAAUUCCAAUCACAUUCAACAAGAGAACUAAAAUACGGUAGGGCUUAGAAUAUGGACAAAUCCAGGGCAAAAAUGAAGGUGUCCAAUCUCUGAUGGACAUCACGUCAGGCAGACUGCCAGCUGCACCAAGAUGUCAGAGAAGGAAGGAGAGAGACCAAGGGAAUCCUUCUCCUUGACAACAUUCUCUUUUGUGUAAGGUGAAGUAGAGAGGAGGGCUCUUUUGCCUGUGCCUGUGUUGAUGAUGUGAAGGGUGUGUCUUUAAAAUCCUUUCAGGAUGCCUGGAAGAGGUUGAAAAUUCUCCAGGGAGAAGAUAUUUCCCUUGCCGGUGCCCUGUCACGUGCUAUGCUGCUUGAUUCAAGACAGAUUUUAUCUGUCUGACUUCCUGCUCAUGAAAACACCCUUCCUGGAUGAUGGCUAAUUAGGUAAUAUAAUAGUUUAUUCUUCUAAUGUUCUGAUUUACUUGGCAAAGCAAACAAUAUGCUUCUGUAUUUAUUCAUGUCGCUUAUGUAACUGUUUGCACAUAGGUUUUGCAGUUACUGUGAAAUAAUUAUAAUGAUACCAAAUUAGCAUAAAUGUUGCAUUUUGCAGCUCAGGGAGUAUCCCUUUUGAUUUCAGGGCGCAAAAAGAAGUGGGAGGAUGCUUAAAUGUCUGAAAAUGAAACGUGUUCAUUAACAGUAGCUCAGUUUAUGAACUUCAGAGGUUAAACAUCAGCUACAAAAAAUCUUUUAAUCUAGACGGAUCAAGCCUCUUCACUUAAAUGCAUUAUCCAAAUUUGCAGUCAUCUCUAGUUAAUGAGUCAGUCUGAAUUAGCCUUUAAAAAGAAUUAAGGGAAAAGAAUCAAUGCUUUGAUGGUGUUUGAAGCACAAGUUGAAGUAAUUGAAUCAAUGUGUUAAAUCUUAGAUGAGAUCAUUUAAUCCGUAAACCAGCGAUUGAGAACUUUUUGACUGAAACUAGAUGCAGUGGUUAAUCUUGAAUUAUUCCAGUCAGGGAGGUCCUCCACAACAGCUUAUCUGAAGGGAGAAUUUGCUUAUAUUCG